rnacentral:rRNA from 1 species
UACGAAGGGUGCAAGCGUUACUCGGAAUUACUGGGCGUAAAGCGUGCGUAGGUGGUGAGUUAAGUCUGUCGUGAAAGCCCCGGGCUCAACCUGGGAAUGCGAUGGAUACUGGCUCGCUAGAGUGCGGUAGAGGAGACUGGAAUUCUGGUGUAGCGGUGGAAUGCGCAGAUAUCAGGAGGAACACCAAUAGCGAAGGCAGCUCGCUGGGACGGUACUGACGCUGGAGGCGCGAAAGCGUGGGGAGCGAACAGG